rnacentral:lncRNA from 1 species
AAAAAAAUGUAGUCUAGAAUUACAAAACUGACUCUCACUUUCUCUGACACCUUCUCUUUCCAAACCUCAUCUUAAUCUCACAAACCAGUACUUGUACAAGUACAGUACCCACCUACACAUCUCCUUCCUACUCCUACUUAACUAACCGUUUUCUUCCAUUAACUUCCCUUUCUCACAUGCCACUAAACCUUCACUCAAAAAC